CAACACUUCCUUAGUGUGAACAUCAGCUGCCGUUAAUAGUGCAGGCAUCAUGUGCAAGCCAGAUACCAGAGAAUAUGGAAGUUACAAUGCAACAAGUCUGUAAGCAGAAGAUAAUUAUCCAGUGGCUCAUUCAACACUUUCAAAUGCCAUAGAAUUCCCCUCUGAUUCCUUCUGAUAGACAAAAUGCCUUUCCAAGCGCUUCUACAACAGCUGGAGGCUUUCAUCUACAAAGUGACUGGCAGACUUCAAGAAUCCGAUACUCUCAGAUUCAUUGCCUUUGUGGUCAUAAUGGCAUUCAUCGGUACUUUCCUUUUGCUGGUUCUCAUUCCUGCUAUUUACUGCUGCUAUACUUGCACACGUACCAGAAAAACCAGCAGGGUGGAGCCCACGUUCCAUUAAUAAACCCAACGGGGAUUACACCGUGACACAAGCAAAGGACAACCUGAUACAGUGGUGCGCUUUGGAAAAUGAACUCCAUCAUUUCGUGGAAGCAGUAAGGUCGAAUCACAGCCUGCCUGGGAUAAACCACCUGCUUGAACAACCACAUCCAAUACAGAUCACCCCAAUGCACAGUUUUGUUGGUUGGAUAUGAAACAAAAUCUCUUAUACUCACAGAGUGACCCAAUAUAAACAGUUGUGAU